CCUACGGGAGGCAGCAGUGGGGAAUAUUGGGCAAUGGGCGCAAGUCUGACCCAGCAAUGCCGCGUGCAGGAAGACGGCUCUCGGGUUGUAAAAUUCUUUUUAGAGAGAAGUGCAGAAGACGGUAUCUAUUGAAUAAGCCAUGGCUAACUACGUGCCAGCAGCAGCGGUAAUACGUAGGUGGCCAGCGUUGUCCGGAGUUACUGGGUGUAAAGGGCGUGUAGCCGGGAAGACAAGUCAGAUGUGAAAUCUCGCGGCUCAACCGCGGAACUGCAUUUGAUACUGUUUUUCUUGAGUACCGGAGAGGUCGUCGGAAUGCCUGGUGUAGCGGUGAAAUGCGUAGAGAUAAGGAAGAACACCAGUGGCGAAGGCAGAUGACUAAACGGCAACUGACGGUGAGGCGCGAAAGCGUGGGGAGCAAACAGGAUUAGAUACCCCGGUAGUC
rnacentral:rRNA from 1 species